rnacentral:lncRNA from 1 species
AGUGGGCGGCGACGCCGGCAGCUGGGACGAGGAGGGCCUCCUGGUCACCCUUCUGGGGGCCCGUACUGUCAUGCCUCAGAGCUGGCAAGUCGUCCCAGGGAAGACAACGGCCUUCCUGGAGGGAGGGAACCUUGUGGUUAGGCGCAUGGGGUGCGAAGCAGAUCAUCUCAGCCUCUCCUGAACUGUGACCAACUGGCUUACUCAAGGGACUGGAUCUGCUGUCCCGACAUGAUGGCAAGCUGCAGCACAUCAUGCAGAUUAAAGUUCAGCCUGCCUCAGACUCAGGAUAAAAACACAUUUGGGACAGUCUCGCUCAGCCUCAUUGCAGAGACAAGAAAUGUAUGAAAAGAAAGUACAGAGAAAAAAAAAGAAUGGAAUACACAUGAAUGCCGAACCACAUUGGAUAUGUAGCUGUUCAUGAAGAUAUUCCAGGGAAGGCCUAUCUAGUAGAGCCUCAAAUCUAUUUGAAUACAAAUGGCACUCAUUAAGGACAUCUGUCUUCUGUAAUGUCUACACAAAGUCUUACCGGGGUCUUCUUGGCUCUUAUUGACGGCUGAUGAAGGAGGGGUUUAUAAAGAAAACAAGCCAAAACCUGAAUAACUUGCUACUGAGAGCAGCACACAUAUUUUCCCAAAGUGCAAAGUUGAGAAGAAGUACAAAGCUUUGUUAAUAUUCUGAACAGUACUGCUUAGUAUGAUCUAAUUGAUGGAUUUUCCAUGGACUCCCUAGAGACUGAAAAAGGUUUGACUGUCAGGAAACUUUUCUUGUGUUUAUUCUUCAAUUUUCCUUUUCCUACUUUCCAAUCAUCAUUCCCUAUUAACAUCCCUUGAUGGGUCACCUUAAGUGAUUAUUCUUUUUAAUGGCAUUUAUAACGUUUAAUAUUUCCCUGUUAAUUUCUAUUCCGACAAAGUACAUAUUUUUUUAAUCUUCACUCAUAACAUUAAUAAAUUUUUCCAACAUUUUAAAGCUCAGUUAACAUUUCCUUAUAUAUGCCUCUGUCUUUAAAAUAUGAGAUCUGAAUGUACUGGUAUCACUAGAAUUAUCUACAGAGUUCUAAUGUGAUGGAAAUUGUGCUACAAAAAUUUGUUCUUACAUAAUUUGCUUCAACGGAAUUCCUCCUGAACUAAAUACUUAGUCUUUACAUUCUUUAAAAUAACUAAAAUUUCCCAGAGGAAAGUCUGAAUUGUUCAUUUAACCUUGUGUGAUGUGUGCUGUGUGUAGCUGAAACAGCAAAGUGGACACACCUGCACCCUUAACAUUUUUGACUUUUUUUUUUUUUUUUUUAAAGAAUCAAGUUUCGUUUUUGUCACCCAAGCUGGAGUGCAGUGGUACAAUCUCCGGUCACUGCAACCUCCGCCUCCCGGGUUCAAGCGACUCUCCUGCCUCAGCCUCCCAAGUGGCUGGGAUUACAUGUGUGCACCACAAAGCCUGGGUAUUUUUUUUUUUUCAUUUUUAGUAGAGACGUGGUUUCACUAUGUUGGGCAGGCUGGUCUUGAACUCCUGAACUCAGGUGAUCCUUCCCCGCUAGGCCUCCCAAAGUGCUGGAAUUUCAGGCCUGAGCCACAGCACCUGGCCAACUGUGACUCAUUUUUAAAGCGGUUUGGCAAUAAUGCUAUAUACGUAUAAUGGUUUUGAAUAAAAUAUACAACUAUACAUGGCCUGUUAUCUUCUUAUUUUAGACAGAAUAAUCUUAGUCUUGUACUUUCAUGUAUUAGGCUGAUAGCCAUGAGAUUUGGGGAGGAAAAAAAUAGGAUAAAAUAGGACUCACUCAUUUCAAGAAAUAGAGUUAGUUUUCUAUGCAAGCAUUUUCUCCCCUUCUCCUUAGCCCACCAAAGUGGUAAAUGAGACUUCCAGCCAUGAGGCUGUUUGCACCUCUGUCUGGGAGGAGACUUCUGGAGCUUUGGUUGCUGCUAAUGACUUGGAGGGGCUUUGAAGGCCCCCUUGAAGAUGUCACGCAUGACCUCUGGACCCUUGGUAUCUUUCAAGAAUCCUUAUGAGAUACUAACUCAUUUCGUUUAUAAUAGGUGAAAACAGAUCAUGUAUUUUUAAACCAGAUAAUGCCUAAGUUAUAUUACUCUAGAAUUCAUAGAAAAAAUAAAAUAGCCGAGAUCUUUAAAAAGACUGUAAUGUGGUAUUAGUGGACUGUCUUUUUUUUUGUUUAUGGAGAGAAAAAAAUUAUUUGUAAGUUUUUUUUUAAUUUAUUAUUGUUAUACUUUAAGUUUUAGGGUACAUGUGCACAAUGUGCAGGUUAGUUACAUAUGUAUACAUGUGCCAUGCUGGUGCGCUGCACCCACUAACUCGUCAUCUAGCAUUAGGUGUAUCUCCCAAUGCUAUCCCUCCCCCCUCCCCCGACCCCAUAACAGUCCCCAGAGUGUGAUGUUCCCCUUCCUGUGUCCAUGUGUUCUCAUUGUUCAAUUCCCACCUAUGAGUGAGAAUAUGCGGUGUUUGGUUUUUUGUUCUUGUGAUAGUUUACUGAGAAUGAUUAUUUCCAAUUUCAUCCAUGUCCCUACAAAGGACGUGAACUCAUCAUUUUUUAUGGCUGCAUAGUAUUCCAUGGUGUAUAUGUGCCACAUUUUCUUAAUCCAGUCUAUCAUUGUUGGACAUUUGGGUUGGUUCCAAGUCUUUGCUGUUGUGAAUAAUGCCGCAAUAAACAUACGUGUGCAUGUGUCUUUAUAGCAGCAUGAUUUAUAGUCCUUUGGGUAUAUACCCAGUAAUGGGAUGGCUGGGUCAAAUGGUAUUUCUAGUUCUAGAUCCCUGAGGAAUCACCACACGGACUUCCACAAUGGUUGAACUAGUUUACAGUCCCACCAACAGUGUAAAAGUGUUCCUAUUUCUCCACAUC